CCUACGGGAGGCAGCAGUGGGGAAUAUUGGGCAAUGGGCGCAAGCCUGACCCAGCAACGCCGCGUGAAGGAAGAAGGCUCUCGGGUUGUAAACUUCUUUUAUCAGGGACGAAGCAAGUGACGGUACCUGAUGAAUAAGCCACGGCUAACUACGUGCCAGCAGCCGCGGUAAUACGUAGGUGGCAAGCGUUAUCCGGAUUUACUGGGUUUAAAGUGUGUGUAGGCGGGAAAGCAAGUCAGAUGUGAAAACCAUGGGCUCAACCUGUGGCCUGCAUUUGAAACUGUUUUUCUUGAGUACUGGAGAGGCAGACGGAAUGCGUAGUGUAGCGGUGAAAUGCGUAGAUAUUAGGAGGAACACCAGUGGCGAAGGCGGUCUGCUGGACAGCAACUGACGCUGAGGCGCGAAAGCGUGGGGAGCAAACAGGAUUAGAUACCCUUGUAGUC
rnacentral:rRNA from 1 species